rnacentral:rRNA from 1 species
AUUGAACGCUGGCGGCAGGCCUAACACAUGCAAGUCGAGCGAGCGGCGGACGGGUGAGUAAUGUCUGGGAAACCGCCUGAUGGAGGGGGAUAAAUACUGGAAACGGUAGCUAAAACCGCAUACCAUCAGAUGUGCCCAGAUGGGAUUAGCUAGUUGGUGGGGUAAAGGCCUACCAAGGCGACGCUCUGUAGCGGGGCUGAGAGGAUGAUCCGCCACACGGGGACGGAGACACGGCCCAGACUCCUUCGGUAGGCAGCAGUUGGGAAUAUUGGGCAAUGGGGGGAACCCUUAUCCAGCCAUGCCGCGUGUGUGAAGAAGGCCUUAUGGUUGUAAAGCACUUUAAGCGAGAAGGCGUUACUCGCAGAAUAAGCACCGGCUAACUCCGUGCCAGCCGCCGCGGUAAUAC